rfam:Nelumbo nucifera unplaced genomic scaffold scaffold00114, whole genome shotgun sequence
AAAGUGGAACAGAGCCAAGGAUGACUUGCCGACAUCUAUCAAGAAAAGGGUGUAUAUGACCUGAAUUGUAAGUUGUCGGUAGGUCAUUCUUGGCUACAUUCGACUUUAU